UUCCUAUUCCUUUUUCCUGAGACAUGCUAUUCAUUUGAUGCAGGACCACAUCACAGGCCCCAUCUGUUCUUCUACACCGUCUAACCAUGAUCUUCUCACUUCACCUGUGGCUCAUUUCUCAUUAACCAGUCGUGCUUGCCAACACGGGACCAUGGAUUGACUGAACAGUUUCUAGGGCUCGUUCAUUUCACCACAAAAUUCACUUCAAGUGGUGUCGUGCCCCUUGAAUUUGGACAUGGGUACCAAAGAUUUCUUACUUGUAUAUUAGGCACAGGCUGUGGUUGCAGAUUUUCUGGAAAAAUUGCAGUGGUGGUUAUCUGCCAUUAUGUCAGUGAAGUGUUUAUAUGGUGCCAAGUGAGAAGGGAUUAGUGAAGUAGAAAAACAAAGGAGGUUAGUACAGGAAUUGUAAGAUGGGAAAACCAGCUGAAAGAAAACUGGAAUAAAUUUCUCAGUCUGCUUUGCUAUAUAGGAAUAUAGAUGGUGCUGGCCAAAGGGAAAGGAUACACAGGAACAGGAAUGAAAGGCAGAGAUCAGUGAAGUUCAGCUUUGCUUAUUUAGAUGCUGACUUAUACUGAUAAACUGUACCAAAAAUUAUAACCUGAACUUAUAAUAUGCACUGACUUUCAAUAAGACAAAUCUGUUUCUUAGGCCUGAGCUACUAAGGAAUUGCCAACAAAACUAUAGAAGUAUAUUUCCCAAUAUAAAAGACAUUCAAAACAUCUAUUUCCUCUAAAAUACUGUAUAUAAUUACACAUAUUCAGAAAAAAAUAAUUAAAACCAGAAUCUGUAUAGGAAAAGGUAAGUGAGCUGAUUAGAAUAAUGUAAAAGGGAAAAAUUAGCCCCAGGAAAUUAAAGUGUUGUUAUUUAAAUGUUAUUACCCCUAUUAGUUGUUGAAUUCUAUGAUUUUUCCUUAAAAGCACAAGGAAAAAAUAAGUUCAGGACAUCUAUUUUAGUGAUGAAGACUGUGUUGUGAUAAAGGAACUGUCAGUUACCUCACCCAAACUGGAAAUAAGAGGAAGAUUUAUAGGUGCCAGAGGAAUGAGUUUCCAGAACACUCUUCCAGUAGCACAAGUAUGGGUGAAAAUAAACCCCAAUCUUUAGUUGCAGGUUAGAUGGGCUUUAGGUAAGGCUUAGUAUUUUUGCAAAAAGGGAUUCUAUGGUAUUGAUGUUUUCAGUGACACUACUAGGAAUAACCCAGGAAGUUUUGUAAUACAAAAUGACAACAACAAAGUGGAAUUAAACAUUUUACAGGUGUGCUGGUUUUGGCUGGGAUGGAGUUGAUUUUCCUUUCAGUAGCUGAUGUGGGAUAAGUUUCAGAUUUGUGACCAAAACAGUGUUGAUAGUACAGGGAUAUUUUCAUUUUUGCUGGGCAGUGCUUGCAUGGCAUCAAGGUCUUUCCUGCUUCUUAUCCCACCAAUGAAGAGGCUGGGGGUGCUUAGGAAACUGGGGGAGGACACAGCCAGGACAGCUGGAAGGGACAUUCCACAUCACAUGGCAUCAUGCUCAGCACAUCAAGCUGGGGAAGAAGUGGGGGUGGAAAUUCAUAGCUGUGCUGUUUGCCUUCCCGAGUCACUGUUGGGUGUGAUGGGGCUCUGCUUUUCUGGGGAUGUCUGAACACCUGCCUGCCCACGGAAAGCCAUGAAUGACUUCUUGCUUUUCAUUGUGUGCAUGCACAGCUUUUGCUUUCCCUAUUGAAGUGUCUUUAUCUCAGAAAACUCUUAUGAGUUUUCUCACUUUUACCUUUUCAAUUCUCUCCCCCAUCCCACCAGGGGAGUGGCUGUGUGGCGCUUAGUUGCUGGCUGGAGUUAAAAUUUGACAGUUUGAAAGGAUAUGAAGCAGGAAUAACCCAUUUGAGUCAGUUCACCUAUAUUCAGAAUAAUAUAUUGAAGCUAUAAAAAGAAAAUUACUAAACUCACUGGUGUAUAUGCAUGAAUUGUGCUAACAGACCUGGAUAUAAUUAGGAAACACUGAGUAAAGUUUUGCAGCUCUGACUACUGCAAUUACCUCAAUGAUUUCAGGAAAGCAUCAACUAGCAAAACAUGGAUCAGUAAUCUUUUCUAUCUGAUGUUAGUCACAACCUUGUGUAGGAUCACUAAAAAAGGAGGGCAGUGUCAUAAGAUACUGGAAAUGCUGCUGCAACGUAAAGAAAGAUUGCCUUACAUCACCAUGUCCUGAAUACCCUUACACCCCAAUUUCAAAUAUUUUUAUACACAAACGUUUUACAUUGUGCCUAUCUGUUUUCUACCUCCCUUUUACGAUUGUUAAGAGUUCACAUUUUUAAACUUCACAUAUAAUUUUCCCUGCCUGGAUUUUGGACAAACACUGCACCAAAUUCUGCUUUGCUAUUGAUCUUAAAAAAAACUGGUUCAGUGCUUUAGCAGAAAGGAAAACUGUACUUCUUAUGAAAAGAUUUUUUUUUCAAAAAUGCUCUCUUACAUCUUUGUAAAGAACUUUUCAUAAUUGAUUCUAAGGGUAAAGGAGCAGCAUGGUAUUGCGUAUUAAUUGGAAUGUAGAAUUGAGUCAACUGAAAAUAUAGAGCUGGAACGGUAAAAAAAAUUACAGGCCAAGUAUUAAUAAUGUGAGUAGUACUGAACAUGUAAAUUAAGAGGCAUUGAAGUCAAAUAUGCUGAGCUGUGAACAUCUCUCCACUUUUUCAAUGGAUUGGAGCCUGGAUCCUCUGUGAGCUUACACAGCUGUGUCAAGCUGAGAUAUGGUAAAGGUCAGUUUUCCUUCUGUGCUAAUAUGUUAGUGAACAAGCCAGCAUGGGACAUAGUUAAUAGCUGAGUUGUCACUAUCUCCUAUUGACUUCUCAGAACUAGGAGGAGGUGUGAGACAUGUUCAUUCUGUUCACUUGCAACACAUAAGAAAUGGGCAGGUACUUUCCCCUGUUGCCUCCUUGGAAAUUUUGCUUGUAUUAAGCUCAACUUUCUGCAUCGAGCAAUGAAGAACUGGGGACUUGAGUUAAAACUCCUAUUAUUCCAGAUUGUUUACAAAGUGUUCAACUUCUGUCACUAUCUUGCCUGUCUUAUCCAUCCUUCUGUUCUUUUCAGAUAGUACCUGGCUACAUUUUAUUCUGAAAAACUUCUUCCUGCCUGCUGCAGCUGACCUUCAGGAUGCUCCUUGGUCUCCCAAGCAAGGUGCCAUAGCUCAGUCACAGUGAUUUAUUGAUGGAAAAUGAGAAGGAGACAGUCUUCAAAAUGGCCAGUCAACCAAAGAAGCCAGUCUGGGAACAUCUGUGUCUUGCCAUUUGAAAACCUCACCUGUUGCUUGCUCCUACAGAGUACCUGGAAACACUGGAUGGGAGGGACACCACACUGAGCCUCACAGAUGACAGAGUGCAGAUAAACAGCCAUCCUGCAGUUGGUUCCAUGGUGGAUAAGAAAACCCCUACAGCUCCUUGACUUCUUUUCACACUUCCACCACUCUGCUUUGCCAGACCACUCACUUUGCCGGUUGAAGAUUGCCCAGUCAACUCUACUGGAAGCCUGGAAUCAUGGAGAAGGUGACAGACUGCAGCACUGUGCUGCAAGUAUGGGAAGCAUGGAAUUAGUUUUGUGGAGGUUGCAAGGAAGGAGCAGUCUGCUGCAGAAGAGGAUUUCCUGACCAUGAGGAACAGGACAGUUAAGAGACACAGCCUAGCAUUGUGGCCAAACACCGCGACCCGUCUUCUGAGAAAGAGACCCAUCUUCUGAGAAGAAAAGAGGAGGACUUCUCAGUGGGGAACUUUGCAAGGCCCAUGCUCCAUAAAGGGCUUCUGAGAGCAGUGUGCAAGCCAGGCAGUGGGCCGGGAGCCAGAGCAGCAGAAGCCAUGGGGCAUGGCCCAAACUUGCAUGAUCCAUGGUGACAAAACAUGUGGAGCUCCUCUUUUGGGAAUGAGAUCCCUAAGGGCCUGGCUGUGCCCCUGCCUGCCCUGUGUGUGUGGAAGGAGGAGUGUAUGAACUCUCCUGGGCUAAGGUACAGCGGAGUUUGGCUGGAGGAUUGCUAGUGCCUCUACACCUGCCCUAGCUCUGCUCCUGCCCUUUUUUUGCAGAGUAACUCUGCAAAACCCUCACUGAUUUGAACAAUUGUUGCCUAAGCCCCUCUGUCCAUGUGUCUGUGCUUCUUUACCAUGUCUAUCAAUUAAGCAAAAGCCCCAGACAUCCUUUUGCUCAUACAAUGCUUUAAUUAUAAAGUAGUUUGCUUCUGAUUGGCAAUUACUGUGCCUGGGAAUGGGCCUCACAAGUGGGUGGGCUUUUGAGACCUGGCUGUCACUCAUCUGCCUUGUCCCCUUCUCCAUCUGGCUGCCAAAGAAGCAUGAGCUCUUGCAGAAUUUUCUGUGAAAUAAGAGCACUAAUUAAGAAGUGGACUGGAUUGGCCUUUACUGAGGCGGUAUCUUUGAUUUGUUUCUUUGGUUUUUUUCUCUCCCUUGUGACUAGGAAAGGUCUGAUACUCAUUGCAAUUCCUAGGCUGACCCAAGCACACCGUGGCACCUGGCUCCCCCUGCCAGACGUGCUGUAAAGGAGAGAAAUGAGAGCCAUGGCACACAGAGAGCCUGCCACUGACCUCUGCUGUUACCCUAGGAAAAACACUUCUCAGGAGCACCAUCCCAAACCCAGAUGCUGGAAUCUUUGUGAGGUCUGAGGGGUCACCAUGGGGCCUGUGCAAAGGGAAAGCAGGGGGCAGGGCUGGGUGAUGGGAGCAGACUGAGCCUUCUUCCUCUGAAAUCCUUGAGCUGAAGACCAGGGAUAGAAAUGCAAAUGUGAAGAA